GACGAACGCUGGCGGCGUGCUUAACACACGCAAGUCGAACGGUAAGGCCCUUCGGGGUACACGAGUGGCGAACGGGUGAGUAACACGUGGGUGAUCUGCCCUGCACUUCGGGAUAAGCCUGGGAAACUGGGUCUAAUACCGGAUAGGACCACUGCCUGCAUGGGUGGUGGUGGAAAGCUUUUGCGGUGUGGGAUGGGCCCGCGGCCUAUCAGCUUGUUGGUGGGGUGAUGGCCUACCAAGGCGACGACGGGUAGCCGGCCUGAGAGGGUGACCGGCCACACUGGGACUGAGAUACGGCCCAGACUCCUACGGGAGGCAGCAGUGGGGAAUAUUGCACAAUGGGCGCAAGCCUGAUGCAGCGACGCCGCGUGAGGGAUGACGGCCUUCGGGUUGUAAACCUCUUUCAGCACCGACGAAGCGCGAGUGACGGUAGGUGCAGAAGAAGGACCGGCCAACUACGUGCCAGCCGCCGCGGUAACAC
rnacentral:rRNA from 1 species